UCCCUUCCCCAUCACCCCGGCGCUUGCUCGCUCGCUGGCUCGCUCCCUCCCGCGCAAGGCGAGCCCGCCCUGCUUUCCCUCCGCUCCCCUCCCUCUGUUCCCUCCUCCUCCUCCUCCCUCCCUCCCUCCGCGCCGCUGCCGCCGUCCCUGCUGCCCCUGCCCCUCUUUUCUCCCUCCUCCCCCUGGCUCUGCUCCUCCUGCUCAGCCAGUGCCGCUCCAGCCACACUCGCAGGCAGACACGCGCGGCGGCGGCGGCGGCGGCGGACGAGCAGCAACCGAGGCGGCGGCGGCUCCCCAACAACAAGGCCCCUGGCAUGUGUAAUGUAUGCAAAUCCACAGCAGCCAAACAAUGCCAACCCCUGUACUGAAAGUAGUUCCAGGGGCUCUGCCAGAAAGAGGAGACGGGAAGACUUGAUGCAUGGCCUGUGUAUAUUGGUGAAGAGUAUAAGGAUACCAGAAGUGCCUUUCACAUAGACUUGUGGAAUAAAAUGAAUGAAGAGUCAAGCACUGGAGCGCACUGUAUAAAUACGGAAUUUGUAUGAGAACGUGGAUUGGGAUAGUAGUCCGGAAGGUAAUGUAUUUUCACAAAAUACGCAAGGCUGCCUUUGCAUCUAGAAGGAAGCUGCGGCAAGCUGUACAAAACAGAAGACAAAAUGGUAGUGACUUGUGCUGAGUGAUGCAACAAAAUUGUCGUAGUCCAUCACCACUGACUCUGUACCAAGAACCAGAUGUGAUGCCCUUCAUAAUAAAAAUGUAUGUGUAUUUAAGGCGCAAGGAACCCGAAGUCAUGGCAGUAUUGUCUAUAUAUCACCAAGUGAUUAACUCCAGAUGACAGCAAUUCCAGAGGUUCCGCAAAUGUUUUUCAAGCAUAUUCAUUAUGGUGCAUUUGGUUGAAAGACCCAAUAAGGGCUUUCUAAAAUACUCUCAGGUUUCUUACAGGCUUUAUUCAGGGAACAAAAUUAGCCACCAUAAGGGAGGUGUUUCCAAACAAGCGACAAGUGGAAGUUUUCUUGAAAUAGCCACUUCCUGAGGUGUCAGUGAUAAACAGUUAUUCAACAGGGUUGCCAUGUGUUUGCAUGCUAUUCCAUUUACUGAAGCUGGGUUGAUGUGACAAAACACACGUUGAAGAACAAAAUAAUUCAAAAGAACCCAAGGGCCUAUGCAAACAUAUAACAUAGCUCAGAAAUGCUGCUGUUAAAGGCUUUUGAAAUGACUGAUGAUCCAAACAGAUUAUAACAUGGACAUCACUGGUGUUUUCCAUCAUUACUGGGAAGCAAAUAUCAUUUCAGGCUCAAGUUUAAAACACUAUUUUAGAGGUCUGGUAAGAAUGUUGUUAUCUUGACAGAAACGGAUUAGUUGACUUGGAUACCCCUAUAUUCAGAGAUCAGAAACAGCAAAGGAAAACAUAUUUUUCACCUAGCAAAAUUUUCCUCAAGUUUUGGGGUGAGUCAUCUUGGCCCAAUAUACUCUCCACCCUUUUAAGGUAUUAAAACCUCCUUAUCCUUUUGCUCAAAACAAGUACAAGCUGGAAGCUAUACUACUUUGUAUUGAUACUACUGCUUGAUACAUUCUACUCAAUAAAAUUAUAUUUUUAUAUUUA